rnacentral:rRNA from 1 species
GAUGAACGCUAGCGGCGGGCUUAAUACAUGCAAGUCAAGGGGUAGCAAUACACCGGCGUACGGGUGCGUAACGCGUAUGGAACCUGCCCUUAUCUGGGGGAUAACUCGGGGAAACUCGAGCUAAUACCGCAUAAGAUAGUAGAAUGGCAUCAUUCAGCUAUUAAAGAUUUAUCGGAUAAGGAUGGCCAUGCGUAAGAUUAGAUAGUUGGUGGGGUAACGGCUCACCAAGUCUACGAUCUUUAGGGGCUCUGAGAGGAGAAUCCCCCACACUGGCACUGAGAUACGGGCCAGACUCCUACGGGAGGCAGCAGUAGGGAAUAUUGGGCGAUGGGCGGAAGCCUGACCCAGCCACGCCGCGUGCAGGAAGAAGGCCCUCUGGGUUGUAAACUGCUUUUGAUUGGGAAGAACGCAUCUCAUGCGUGGGAUCUUGACGGUACCAAUCGAAUAAGCCACGGCUAACUACGUGCCAGCCGCCGCGGUAACAC